rnacentral:rRNA from 1 species
GGUUAAGCGACUAAGCGUACACGGUGGAUGCCCUGGCAGUCAGAGGCGAUGAAGGACGUGCUAAUCUGCGAUAAGCGUCGGUAAGGUGAUAUGAACCGUUAUAACCGGCGAUUUCCGAAUGGGGAAACCCAGUGUGAUUCGUCACACUAUCAUUAACUGAAUCCAUAGGUUAAUGAGGCGAACCGGGGGAACUGAAACAUCUAAGUACCCCGAGGAAAAGAAAUCAACCGAGAUUCCCCCAGUAGCGGCGAGCGAACGGGGAGCAGCCCAGAGCCUGAAUCAGUGUGUGUGUUAGUGGAAGCGUCUGGAAAGGCGCGCGAUACAGGGUGACAGCCCCGUACACAAAAAUGCACAUGCUGUGAGCUCGAUGAGUAGGGCGGGACACGUGGUAUCCUGUCUGAAUAUGGGGGGACCAUCCUCCAAGGCUAAAUACUCCUGACUGACCGAUAGUGAACCAGUACCGUGAGGGAAAGGCGAAAAGAACCCCGGCGAGGGGAGUGAAAAAGAACCUGAAACCGUGUACGUACAAGCAGUGGGAGCACGCUUAGGCGUGUGACUGCGUACCUUUUGUAUAAUGGGUCAGCGACUUAUAUUCUGUAGCAAGGUUAACCGAAUAGGGGAGCCGAAGGGAAACCGAGUCUUAACUGGGCGUUAAGUUGCAGGGUAUAGACCCGAAACCCGGUGAUCUAGCCAUGGGCAGGUUGAAGGUUGGGUAACACUAACUGGAGGACCGAACCGACUAAUGUUGAAAAAUUAGCGGAUGACUUGUGGCUGGGGGUGAAAGGCCAAUCAAACCGGGAGAUAGCUGGUUCUCCCCGAAAGCUAUUUAGGUAGCGCCUCGUGAAUUCAUCUCCGGGGGUAGAGCACUGUUUCGGCAAGGGGGUCAUCCCGACUUACCAACCCGAUGCAAACUGCGAAUACCGGAGAAUGUUAUCACGGGAGACACACGGCGGGUGCUAACGUCCGUCGUGAAGAGGGAAACAACCCAGACCGCCAGCUAAGGUCCCAAAGUCAUGGUUAAGUGGGAAACGAUGUGGGAAGGCCCAGACAGCCAGGAUGUUGGCUUAGAAGCAGCCAUCAUUUAAAGAAAGCGUAAUAGCUCACUGGUCGAGUCGGCC